rnacentral:rRNA from 1 species
UACGAGGGGGGCGAGCGUUGUUCGGAAUUAUUGGGCGUAAAGGGUGCGUAGGCGGUUCGGUAAGUUUCGUGUGAAAUCUUCGGGCUCAACUCGAAGUCUGCACGAGAUACUGCCGGGCUUGAGUGUGGGAGAGGUGAGUGGAAUUUCCGGUGUAGCGGUGAAAUGCGUAGAUAUCGGAAGGAACACCUGUGGCGAAAGCGGCUCACUGGACCAUAACUGACGCUGAGGCGCGAAAGCUAGGGGAGCAAACAGG